GAUGAACGCUGGCGGCGUGCCUAAUACAUGCAAGUCGAGCGAAUGACGAGGAGCUUGCUCCUCUGAUUUAGCGGCGGACGGGUGAGUAACACAUGGGUAACCUGCCUGUAAGACGGGGAUAACUCCGGGAAACCGGAGCUAAUACCGGAUGAUAACGAGAAGCGCCUGCUUCUUUUUUGAAAGCCGGUUUCGGCUGACGCUUACAGAUGGGACCGCGGCGCAUUAGCUAGUUGGUGAGGUAACGGCUCACCAAGGCGACGAUGCGUAGCCGACCUGAGAGGGUGAUCGGCCACACUGGGACUGAGACACGGCCCAGACUCCUACGGGAGGCAGCAGUAGGGAAUCUUCGGCAAUGGACGAAAGUCUGACCGAGCAACGCCGCGUGAGCGGUGAAGGCCUUCGGGUCGUAAAGCUCUGUUGUCAGAGAAGAACAAGUACCGGAGUAACUGCCGGUACCUUGACGGUACCUGACCAGAAAGCCACGGCUAACUACGUGCCAGCCGCCGCGGUAAAAC
rnacentral:rRNA from 1 species